UUAUUUUCUAAUCCAAUUUAAAAUUAUCAAAACUCCUUUUAGAUUCAAUUUUGGAGAGUCAUCCAUGGGAUCAACAAAUUUUUGUUUGGAAUUCCGAUUUUGAACCCAAGCCCACCAGAGCCUAAACUGGCGUUUUAUACUACUCGGCCUAUCUGUUUAACGCAUACAGCAACGGGGCUUGGAGGCUUGUCCCAGGGGGGUCGCCAUCAGUUUGCUUGGCGGAUUCGGCAGCUGAGAAGUUGCUUGUGUUGUGACCCCCCUUUCGAAAAUUUUGAGGAAAACAUUUCAAGAAUAACUUGGUGAAGAUGGGACUAUGAAAGUGAUUCCCAUGAGGUAAUAUUGGUAAUAUUUCAAAUUCUCAUUUUUUUUAUGGUCUCACAGAUAGAAAUCUUUCUGCUUAAAGAUUGUGUAGGCAAAUUUCUUGUAGGAUACUAGUAUAAUGGUUUGGAUCAUUUGAAAUCCUUCUUAUUUUGUCCUCUCCUUUACAUGACUGGUGGGUUCCACAUAGUUUGCUAGAGGGAGAAGAACAUAGGAUGAUCAUAUCUUCUUUAAUUUUCCUCUUAACUUAUUGUACUUUGUACAUUAGAUUAUGAGAGAGUCUCAAAUAAUUACAAUAAUUUGAAUGAAUUACUUCUAGCACAUUCACCAAAAUUAUUGACGAAUUUAUGAAACAUUUUUUGGCUACA